UACGGAGGGUGCAAGCGUUGUCCGGAUUUAUUGGGUUUAAAGGGUGCGUAGGCGGCUUUUUAAGUCAGUGGUGAAAGCCUCCAGCUUAACUGGAGAAGUGCCAUUGAUACUGGGAAGCUUGAGUACAGACGAGGUAGGCGGAAUUGACAGUGUAGCGGUGAAAUGCAUAGAUAUUAUCAAGAACACCGAUUGCGAAGGCAGCUUACUAGACUUUAACUGACGCUGAGGCACGAAAGCGUGGGGAGCAAAC
rnacentral:rRNA from 1 species